UGGGGAAUAUUGCACAAUGGGGGAAACCCUGAUGCAGCGACGCCGCGUGAGCGAAGAAGGUUUUCGAAUCGUAAAGCUCUGUCCUAUGAGAAGAUAAUGACGGUAUCAUAGGAGGAAGCCCCGGCUAAAUACGUGCCAGCAGCCGCGGUAAUACGUAUGGGGCGAGCGUUGUCCGGAAUUAUUGGGCGUAAAGGGUACGUAGGCGGUUUUUUAAGUCAGGUGUCAAAGCGUGGAGCUUAACUCCAUUAAGCACUUGAAACUGAAAGACUUGAGUGAAGGAGAGGAAAGUGGAAUUCCUAGUGUAGCGGUGAAAUGCGUAGAUAUUAGGAGGAAUACCGGUGGCGAAGGCGGCUCACUGGACCAUUACUGACGCUGAGGUGCGAAAGCGUGGGGAGCAAACAGG
rnacentral:rRNA from 1 species